rnacentral:rRNA from 1 species
UACGUAGGUGGCAAGCGUUGUCCGGAAUUACUGGGCGUAAAGCGCGUGUAGGUGGAUUGGUGUGUCAGAUGUGAAAGCCCUGGGCUCAACCCAGGAACUGCACCUGAAACUACCAGUCUUGAGUGGUGGAGAGGGAAGUGGAAUUCCUGGUGUAGAGGUGAAAUUCGUAGAUAUCAGGAGGAACACCGGUGGCGAAGGCGGCUCACUGGCCCGGUACUGACGCUGAGGUGCGAAAGCGUGGGGAGCAAACAGG